UACAGAGGUCCCAAGCGUUGUUCGGAUUCAUUGGGCGUAAAGGGUGUGUAGGUGGCGCGGUAAGUCGGGUGUGAAAUCUUGGAGCUUAACUCCGAAACUGCAUUCGAUACUGCCGUGCUUGAGGACUGGAGAGGAGACUGGAAUUUACGGUGUAGCGGUGAAAUGCGUAGAUAUCGUAAGGAAGACCAGUGGCGAAGGCGGGUCUCUGGACAGUUCCUGACGCUGAAGCACGAAGGCCAGGGGAGCAAACGGG
rnacentral:rRNA from 1 species